AUUGAACGCUGGCGGCAGGCCUAACACAUGCAAGUCGAACGGUAGCACAGAGAGCUUGCUCUCGGGUGACGAGUGGCGGACGGGUGAGUAAUAUCUGGGAAACUGCCCGAUGGAGGAGGAUAACUACUGGAAACGGUAGCUAAUACCGCAUAACGUCGCAAGACCAAAGUGGGGGACCUUCGGGCCUCACACCAUCGGAUGUGCCCAGAUGGGAUUAGCUAGUAGGUGGGGUAAUGGCUCACCUAGGCGACGAUCCCUAGCUGGUCUGAGAGGAUGACCAGACACACUGGAACUGAGACACGGUCCAGACUCCUAUGGGAGGCAGCAGUGGGGAAUAUUGCACAAUGGGCGCAAGCCUGAUGCAGCCAUGCCGCGUGGAUGAAGAAGGCCUUCGGGUUGUAAAGUACUUUCAGCGGGGAGGAAGGCGGUGAAGUUAAUAGCUUCACCGAUUGACGUUACCCGCAGAAGAAGCACCGGCUAACUCCGUGCCAGCCGCCGCGGUAA
rnacentral:rRNA from 1 species